CCUACGGGUGGCAGCAGUAGGGAAUAUUGGUCAAUGGGCGAAAGUCUGAAGCAGCAACGCCGCGUGAAGGAUGAAUGCUCUAGGAUUUGUAACCUUCUUUGAUAGAGAAGUUAAUGGCGGCACCUAACGGAUAAGCACCGGCUAAUUCCGUGCCAGCAGCCGUGGUAAUAUGGAGGUUGCGAGCGUUAUUCGGAUUCACUGGGCGUAAAGGGCGCGUAGUGGGGUUAGCAAGUCAGAUGUGAAAUCUUUCGGCUCAACCGUAAAACUGCAGGUGAAACUGUUAGUCUUGAGUACAGUAGAGGUAGGUGGAAUUCGUGGUGUAGCGGUGAAAUGCGUAGAGAUCACGAAGAAUACUGAUUGCGAAGGC
rnacentral:rRNA from 1 species